rnacentral:rRNA from 1 species
AUUGAACGCUGGCGGCAUGCCUUACACAUGCAAGUCGAACGGUAACAGGUCUUCGGAUGCUGGCGAGUGGCGAACGGGUGAGUAAUACAUCGGAACGUGCCUAGUAGUGGGGGAUAACUACUCGAAAGAGUGGCUAAUACCGCAUGAGAUCUACGGAUGAAAGCAGGGGAUCGCAAGACCUUGUGCUACUAGAGCGGCCGAUGGCAGAUUAGGUAGUUGGUGGGAUAAAAGCUUACCAAGCCGACGAUCUGUAGCUGGUCUGAGAGGACGAUCAGCCACACUGGGACUGAGACACGGCCCAGACUCCUACGGGAGGCAGCAGUGGGGAAUUUUGGACAAUGGGCGAAAGCCUGAUCCAGCAAUGCCGCGUGCAGGAUGACGGCCUUCGGGUUGUAAACUGCUUUUGUACGGAACGAAAAGCCCCGGGUUAAUACCCUGGGGUCAUGACGGUACCGUAAGAAUAAGCACCGGCUAACUACGUGCCAGCCGCCGCGGUAA